UCCCGCCCUCAGAUGUUUGGGACUCAGCUGAAGGCGGGGGGGGGGGGCGGUCCUCGCUGUGGGGGCUGAACCCCCCGGGGAUGUAAGGAGACAAAGGAAUCCAGGUCCAACUCUUUCCCGCUUUGGGGCUCGUUGCCUCGGCUGUCUCAUAGCUCUUCAUACCAGUGGCCCAGCUCAUACCAGGUGCUUGAAGGAGGCAGGUUCUGAGGAUCUGAGUCCUAAUGGCUGCUGAAGCUUCUACUCCAGAUUCAAGGGCAGCAGUCCUCAGGAGGCCCCAAUAUCUCACAUUCCUGGUGGAAUCUGACGCCUGGAUCAAUGGAACAGCAGACAAGGCUGUGGACUCUGAGCCCCAAGAAUAGGAGCCGAUAGAGAACAAAGUGUGAUGUUGAGUGUGCUAGAUCGGUUCCUAGAGCGAGAGUGAGGAGAUUAAGAUCCUACCAUUGGGACCAUUUAGUGGAACAGCAGAGAAGUGUGUGGACUCUGAGCCCCAGAAACAGGAAGCAAUAGAGAAGAACGAGGUGUGAUGCCCAGUGUGCUAGAUAAGUUGCUGGAGCAAGAGUGACAAGAUCAGGGUCCCAUCACUGGGAUACUUUAGGCAAGUGAUGGAUACAGAGGGAUUGUUCCAGUUUAGUGAAAAUCCAGAAAGCUGGCUGAUCCCAUGAAGUCGAACUUCCAACCUCCAUCCUCCCUCCCCUGUGUGGAGCCCUCUGGUCUGAGACGCAGAGCUGCCAUCCUGGAUCUCACAACCAGAAGCUUCCCAGAAGUUUGGUAUUAGAGGUACUUUGUUGCCCCCUUGUGACAAAAACUCUGAACUGCAGCUUGAACGUGUCUUGGAAGGAAAGUGGGAGCGAGGGGCUCUGACCCAAACUCAAAAGAUACUGAACUGUCUGGAAGUCAAGAUGAAGACGAUAGAAUUCUUUGGGUACAGCGUAUUGAUGGCUUUCUCUAGACAUUUUAUACAAAUGGAAUUAUACAAUAUGUUGUCUUUUGCAUACUGAUCUUCCUUCUCUUGUCUUAAUAUUUUCAAGCUUCAAAUACCGUAGAGUGUAUCAGUAUUUCAUUCCUUUUUUUGGCCAAAUACACCACAUUUUAUUUACCCAUUCACUGAUAGGCGGACAUUUGAGUUGUUUUCACUUUUGGCUAUUAUGAAUAAUGAUGCUAUGUACAUUCCUUUACUAGUUUUUAUGUAGACAUAUGUUUUCAUUUGUCCUGGCUGUGUGCCUAGGAGUGAAAUUGUUGAGUAAUUUAGUAACUCUCCGUUGAGCUGUUUGAGGAACUGCCAGACUGUUUUCAUGACCCUGACAGUGUUGAGGAGUGCAGGCACAGUCUGUCAUUUUUCUUCUGAUUGGACUCUUGUUAUGAGUUUUGAGAAAGAAACCGUAGAGUUGAAGUGCCCUUCUUGUCACUUCCUAUUUAGGAGGAGGUGAUACCCACUUGACAUCACUUCGUCACUGGAGAUGCUGACCUUCAUCACAGGGUUUAGGGUGGGGUUUGGCUAGUUUCUUCAGUGUACAGUAACUAUUUUCCAUUCACCUGUUCUAUUCUCGGAAGUGAGUCACUAAGUCUGUCCUGCCCUCGGGGGUGGGAGUGAGAUAUGGUUCUUCUCAUGGAGGCAGGGUAUCCACAUAUAUUAUUUGGAGUUACUUAAAGAUAGUUUAUCUCAUGGAAUCCAUUUUUUGUUAAUUCAGACGUUUACAUAUAUGUCCGUAUGGAUUCAUGUAUACGUAUUUUCCCAGGUUUUUUUUUUUUCAAAUGGCUACAUCCCAAAAGAAGGUCUAGCAUCAUGAUUUCUCUGGUGUAGAAGAUGGAUUUUGACUGAACACUCAGGAAACUGCAAAAGAGUUCCCUAACUUUGCCAUUAUAUAUCACCACCUGUUAUCUAAAUAUGGUAUGUUAGACAAUGUUUUUAGGUAAUAUAUUUACCCGUGGCAGAGUUUGGAAUGACAUUACACUUUCAUAUGCUUUUAUUCCAUGAUUGAUUUCCUUGAAAAAGAAAUAAAAACAUAUGACAGAGGUAUUGAAAUGAUGAUAGCAAAUUAUUGCUAACAUGCAGAAAACAUAUUUGCAAAAUCCAUUCAAUGCAGCAAAAUGAUAAGAUAUGUCAGAGAAAAUGUGUGCUUCGUUUGAAAGCCCGUUGUGAAAAGCACAGCACUUUAGUUAUCUGAGUCCAAUUCUAUGGAAGGUUAUUUUACAACUCUAGCUUUUAAUGUAGCUGAUCCCAUUGUACUAUAAUCCUUGUUAUACCCAAGCAAUUGAAUUCUGAUCUGGGGAUAGGAGAUCCUUUCCUUUUGGGGAAAUAGUUGUUUGCAUCCAUUGAACAAUCAUUUCAACAUUAUAGCUAUGUACGUGUGAUAAGGAAGUGGCUGUUGAGUUGGUAAGUACAGUUUCCAUGGAAACAUGAGGGAACAUGGCCUCGUUAUAUAAUGAAUGAAGACUGAGUUGGAGAGGAGGUGCAGGGAGAUGUGAAUUGAGUAUGGAGAAUUUUUCUUAGAAUUUUGGUGCAAAGGCGAAAAUAUAUGUAAAAAGGAGAGUCACGAGAGUUGUGGCGAGGGGCCCAGGGCAUUAAAGCAUGUUUGUAAAUCACCAAUUAUAAGAGACUUGAGCAGGCUGAAAUCUUAAAGGGAAGGAGCCAUCUCUUCUUUGAUUGAACAUCUGAAUUUGCCACUCCACCCUGUCAGCACUUUACUUACUUGUUUCCACUCUGGAGUGGUGUGAUCCUUAACUAAAAGGAAUGGUAUAGAGUUUGGUAUUAAUGCCUGUUAAGUAGAUGAAUGGAUGAAUGGAUGCAGGAGAUGUCUAACAUGUCCUGCAAAAUCACCGAUUUUUGCAUCUUAGGGCAGAGCUCUUCAGGCAGCUAAUGAACCCGUGGUGUUGGGUGGCUGAGAGGAUGCAGCUUCUCAGGACACAGCAACUGAUGGCUGCAAGAUGGGAGGCAUUUCAAGUGUGGAGGACCAGCCUGAGCACUGCAGUUGCUGUAGAAACCUGACAUCAUUGUGGGAUGUUAACGAUUUCUAAAUAGAGACAGAUAUGUCCUGGGAAGAAGAGCAUGUCUGCCUGCCUUCAGGUAGUUGGGACUCACCUGGGAGAGUGGGUGUCUGUGAUGGCGGCUGAAAUGCCCUGAGGUGUGGGGAGACAACAGGAUUCAGAUCCAAAUCACCUCUUUCUGACUUUGGGACGUGGUGCCCUGGCUGUUACUUAUGGAAAGCCAUUGGGGUCCCAUCUGACCCCAGCGACUGUGGGUCCUGCUCCAGGGGUGUCCUGGAGCUACUUUUCUUGCAAUGCAGCGGUGUGGGAGGUAAGAUGGGUAAUGACUCUGAGCCCCUGAUUCCCCCUUUGUACGAUGGAGAUGAGAAUGCUUCACCGACAGGGUCGCUGAGAACAGUCAGGGGUGCACAGGAGCAAGCCCGAGGCCCUGUGGCUACUGUGGGCUCAGGAAUGCUUGUAUGAAUUCAGGACACUUCUUAUUCCUUUUCGACUUUAUUGUUAGGGGGUAGACAAGGACAGGAGAGAAAAAAGGCCCUGGUGAAAAAUCCAUUAAAAUGUGUUUGUUAUGACCAUGACCCAUUGUAUCAGUGUCAUUGUCACUAAGCUAGUGUCUAGCAUGGUGCUGGGUGCAUCGUUACUCCAGGAAAACAGUGUGAGUGCUGGAUCUGUCUCUCCCUGUGCAGCUCUUCAUGCUGGUGGUCAAGCUCACAUCAGGACCUGAAGGAAGUAGUUUCUGAGGAUCUAUGUCCUGAUGGUUUCUGAAGCUACUAUUUCAGAUUCAAGGACAGCGGUCAUCAAGAAACCCCAGCACCUUACAUCCCUUGUGGCAUCUGUGGGAUCUGGCAUGCGUGACUUUAUAGCUGAAACAGAGCAUGUUGUGUAUGAGCUCCUUUGACACUAGAUGAGUUUUGAUCUCCUAUAGUAUUACAUGAAAGGAAUUAUACAGGUUGCAUUUGAUUUUCACGUGGCUUGUUACAUUCAGCCAUUGAUUGUUCUGAAUUAUCUUUUAUUUUACAUGCAUAUGUGGAACAUUAUUUAUGAAUA